UACUCUGGGGCGCAAGCCCCGCCUUCCUCCCCACCCCACCCUGGAACCCUCCCUCCCCUCUGGCCCCGGCUGUAAGGCCAGACCCGCCUCCAGCAGGAAAGUCUGGGGGCCACAGGGCAGGGCGUCAGUGUAUUCACAGUGUUGCAAACAAGACAAGAAUCUGUUCUCUGAGCAUGUUUAUCGGGUCAGGGUGUUUAUGUGUGGCAAGGAAUGACAGGUGGGUGAUUGGCCAGUGGGCGAGGCUACUGGAGGAUCCUUUGCUAACCGUUGAAGCUGUGAGCCCCAGAUAAGAACAUCUCGUCUAGGGGUUAGCGCAGUCUUCCUGCAGGAGGCUCUAUCUAGAGAUGUGUUUGAGGAGGUCUCACAGCUUUGCGGUUUUCCCGGAACAAGAACUUUCUGAGAGCAACAGGUGUUAAUUAACGAACUGAGCCGGGAAUUCCGCCUGAGGCUGUCAUUCUCUGCCAGGUGACCGAGAGCAGCUAGAGAGCUCACGUAGCUCUCACGAGGAACACCUGAAUCUCAGUUCUCUUUUAUUUCCCUUACACGUGGCUUACCACUGGGUGCAUCAGCAGCAACCACCAUCACAAAGAACCAUCGCAGGGCCAGCAAGUCGGCUCAGCAGGUAAAGGGGCUUGCCACCAAGAAUAGCAACCUGAGUUCGAUACCCAGGACCCACACGAUGGAAGGAGAGACCCAACCCCUGCAAAUUAUCCUCUGAUGGCCACACAUAUGUGGUGGCGCUCCUCUCCCAUAAGUAAAUGAAUGUAAUAAUAAUUUAAAAAGAUAUUUACAUUCUUGGGGUAGUCAUAAUGAAAAUAGCAUUGAAUAAAAUGGGCUCAUAAUGCUUAUUUAAGGAGUUAAAAAUGACACAUUAUUUCUAUUUUGUGUACUGGGAGCAGGCAUGUGUGGACCUUAGAGGACAGUGAGAGUUGGUUCACUCUGUGUGGCUUGGCCACCGUGUGGUCCAGGGGAUUGGGCUUAGGUUUCAUGCCAGGUGGCAAGCACCUUUGCCUAUUGGCCAUUGAUGCUCAUCUGAAAGUGCAGCUAAGACCUGGUGUGAUACGGCCCUGUAAUCCUGACACUGGGAAGUCCGAUUAAUAAAAGGAGAACGAGGCUAGCCUGAACUAAAAAAAAAAAAAAAAUCAGGUCUGGGGCUAGAUCCACCAACACGAGCAAAAAAAAAAAUGAAAAGAAAAUAACAAAUCAGCACUGUACAACAGCGAACGUGCCCUGCUGCUGGGCGAAGGCCUCUUUCCAGGGCUGCCCUAGAUAGAUCUGGAACCGUCUACUCCAAAGCGGUUUUUACUACCUUUGCCCACCAGAGGGCGCUAGGCACCUUCCAGAGCUGACCUUACCCUCACUAAAGAAUCCCUGCUUUCCAGUCCCCGUUAAAACCACCUCUCUUCCUUCCUGAACCUCAAAGGGUCCUUAUCUCUGUGCCUCCCCUGGGAUUUACAGCCUUCCAACUAACAAAUCAUAACGUUGCUAUGGCAACGCUGCCUUGGUUGUGUUUUUCUCCUUCGCCAAUUGGCUUGGGAUAGAACGACUCCCCCGUGAGAGGCUCCUUUGGGGAAAGUCAAAGAGGUUCUGAGAAGCUUCCAAGACAAUGGGCCUGUGGGGUGUGGCUCAGAGCGCAGGGAGCCUUUUAGUUUGUACAGAACCCUGGCUUCCCACCCCAGCACCAUUUAAACUUGGCAUUGGGUCCGCACCUGCAGUCACAGCAAAGGCGAGGCAGAGGCGGGAGGAUCAGAAAUCCAAGGUUAUCCACAGCUACAUAUCAAGUUUAAGGCCAGCCUGAGCGGCCUGGGGCGCCGUUUAAUCUUAUAAUCCCAGCAUUCCGGAGGUUGAGGCAGAUCAUAAAUUCAAGGACAACUAGGAUUACGUAGUGAGUUCCAGGCUACCCACGGCUCAGAGUUAAACCUUGUCUCAAAAACAAGACAAGACAAAACACACACCCAUGCAUGCACGUGGGAAGAUGCGCGCACACACACACACACACACAGGAGACCCUUUUGUGGUGACCAUUCCAUGUUUAGCUGUUGCAGAGAGGAAUGGGCUGUUCAUAGACAGCCAUAGAGCAGUGGGUGAGGGCCUGGUGUACCUGUAUGUCUCUCUCAUUAGAAGCCCCACUAACUAACUCAUUUGUAGGCAUUUCCCAGGCUGGGGAUUUGGCUCAGCUGAUAAGUACUCAUGUAGCAUACAUGGAGUCCUCAGUUCUAGGCCGCAGAAAGCCUAACCCAGGGAAGGUGGGCGGAAGCCUGUGAUCCCAGCACUCAGGAUCCCAGCUCUUCACAUUUAGUGGGAAGACCAAGGCCAGCCUCCACUAGGCAGAGACGUUGAGGCCAGCCUUGGCUACAUAAGACUGUCUGAAAACAGAAGUAUUUCACCUAAUUCCUUUAACCUCUCUGUCUCAGACUCUAAGCCUAACAGCUCACCCACGUCUCAGCACAGCCGUCAAGACCACAUCUCUCUGCUAAUUGCGAUGACUAAAGCUGUCAGGACUUAGAAACACCUAGGACACACAUCUCGGGGCUGACUGUGAGGGAGUUUCUAGACUGGAUUAACUGAGGGGAAGGCCUAUCCUGAAAACAUUGGCAGGGGCUGGGGAUUUAGCUCAGUGGCAGAGUGCUUGCCUAGGAAGCGCAAGGCCCUGGGUUCGGUCCCCAGCUCCGAAAAAAAGAACCAAAAAAAGAAAAAAAAACCAAAA